rnacentral:snoRNA from 1 species
UGGGUUGAUGAUGACUACUGGUGGUGUGUGAGUCAUCUACAAUGAAUAUGUCUCUGGAACUCUGAGGUGUGU